CUCCUUGUCUUCUUCAGAUUCAACUUCUCCAUUCUCCAAGAGCACCAUCACCUUUUGGUUUGGACAUCGGUUGGCAUAGUGGCCAAGGCCAUGACACCUAAAGCAUAGGAUGUCUCUGGUUCGUUUGGUAGCCUCUUCUUUCUUUUCUCUAUCAACACGAGCAGGGAUAUUAGUCUUAAAAGCUGUAUUUGUUGUGGAAGAAGACUUACCCUUGUCUUGAUAGUUUGGCUUGGAAGCAAAGGUCG
rnacentral:lncRNA from 1 species